rnacentral:rRNA from 1 species
CCUACGGGUGGCAAUAGUCGAGAAUCAUUCACAAUGGGGGAAACCCUGAUGGUGCGACGCCGCGUGGGGGAAUGAAGGUCUUCGGAUUGUAAACCCCUGUCAUGUGGGAGCAAAUUAAAAAGAUAGUACCACAAGAGGAAGAGACGGCUAACUCUGUGCCAGCAGCCGCGGUAAUACAGAGGUCUCAAGCGUUGUUCGGAAGCACUGGGCGUAAAGCGUGCGUAGGCUGUUUCGUAAGUCGGGUGUGAAAGGCGCGGGCCCAACCCGCGGACGGCUCAUGAUACUGCGAGACUAGAGUAAUGGAGGGGGAACCGGAAUUCUCGGUGUAGCAGUGAAAUGCGUAGAUAUCGAGAGGAACACUCGUGGCGAAGGCGGGUUCCUGGACAUUAACUGACGCUGAGGCACGAAGGCCAGGGGAGCGAAAGGGAUUAGAUACCCGGGUAGUC